UACGUAGGGUGCGAGCGUUAAUCGGAAUUACUGGGCGUAAGGCGUGCGCAGGCGGUUGGCAAAGUCAGCUGUGAAAGCCCCGGGCUUAACCUGGGAAUGGCGGUUGAAACUAGUCGACUCGAAUCUGGCAGAGGGGGGUGGAAUUCCACGUGUAGCAGUGAAAUGCGUAGAGAUGUGGAGGAACACCGAUGGCGAAGGCAGCCCCCUGGGCUGAGAUUGACGCUCAGGCACGAAAGCGUGGGGAGCAAACAGG
rnacentral:rRNA from 1 species